rnacentral:lncRNA from 1 species
GUCACGAUUACCAGGAGUUACAUACAAUCCACUUCUAUCAUUCUUAUUUUUCCAACAACCUUGGUCACGUUCUCUAUAACUUGCUUUUUCAUAGUAAUUUUAACUUUUAUUUCAUUGUCUAUUACCUUGGAAAUACUUCUAAUUAUUUAAGUAGUUCGCCUCCUCCUCAGAAUUUGAUUCAGCUCCCCUACUUUGAGACCCCAUAACUUUCACCUUUGCUGUCUUCCUGAGUAGCAAAUGCUUU